AACGGGAUGUCUGACCCUUGAUAUAUAACCUCGUUGCUUUGGCGGGCCGCCUUUGGGCGUUGGCCUCGGCUGACUGUGCCCGCCAGAGGACCAAAACUCUUUGUUUAGUGAUGUCUGAGUACUGUAUAAUAGUUAAAACUUUCAACAACGGAUCUCUUGGUUCUGGCAUCGAUGAAGAACGCAGCGAAAUGCGAUAAGUAAUGUGAAUUGCAGAAUUUAGUGAAUCAUCGAAUCUUUGAACGCACAUUGCGCCCCUUGGUAUUCCGAGGGGCAUGCCUGUUCGAGCGUCAUAUAAACACAUCCCGCAAGGGGUCUUGGGGCCCGCCUUCUGGCGGCCCUUAAAAUCAGUGGCGGCGCCAUCUGGCUCUAAGCGAAGAAAUUAUCCUCGCUAUAGGGUCCCGGUGGAUGCUUGCCAGCAACCCCCCAU
rnacentral:misc_RNA from 1 species